AUACGUAGGUGGCAAGCGUUGUCCGGAAUUAUUGGGCGUAAAGGAUGCGUAGGCGGCCCUUUAAGUGGGAUGUGAAAUCCCUGGGCUUAACCCAGGAAUAGCAUUCCAAACUGGAGGACUAGAGUGCAGGAGAGGAAAGUGGAAUUCCCAGUGUAGCGGUGAAAUGCGUAGAGAUUGGGAGGAACACCAGUGGCGAAGGCGGCUUUCUGGACUGUAACUGACGCUGAUGCACGAAAGCGUGGGUAGCAAACAGGAUUAGAUACCCUGGUAGUCCACGCCGUAAACGAUGAGUACUAGGUGUAGGAGGGUCCAAUCUUCUGUGCCGCAGUUAACACAAUAAGUACUCCGCCUGGGAAGUACGAUCGCAAGAUUAAA
rnacentral:rRNA from 1 species